GAGGGUUUUUUAUAGAACCCUUCAAAAAAUGAGUCAGAGUCUGUGAAGACAGACUGUGAGUUUGGUGCAGAUUUCAAGGUGCAGAACAAAACCAUAUGCUUCUCUUUAGCAGGCAUGAAGAGGAUGCUCUAGCCUGGUCUCCUGGGAAAAUUUUUUUUUUGUAUUCCUUUGUGUCAGGCACACCAGCAGGAGGAACAAAAAGAAAAGGCGAUUCAGGUACAGAAUUAUGAAUUCAGUUGUGAGGGGCCCUUUAGGUAGUCCACAUCCAAAUCUUCAUUUGUGUGAGUGCACAACAUCCACCAGCCACUUUUGGUGCAAUGUUAAUAUAUUCCUGUAGCUGGACUACACCAGGCAUGACUACAGCAUUUUGUGUGUAGCAGGCAGGCAUGGAAGAUGCUGAAGAGAGCUGCUGGAGAUAAAAUCACUUCCAAAAAAGUCCACCUCUGUGCUCAUACUCAUGUGAACACUUGUUCAGCAUUACAGCUGUCCUUCCAAAACUUUCCAGAGGAAAGGGGCCACAUAAUCUUAUUUUAGAGGGGUGCAAAUUUCUGAAUUGGUAGCCAGACAAGAAGUAGCACUGCCUUCUGCCUCCCAAAACACACAUCAUGAGACAUUUCAAUUCUAACAAGAUUUGAAACCAAAUCUGCCAGAAAAAAAUUAAUUAAAAAAGUUUUUAUUAUUCUGAAAGAUAUUUUAGUGUUUGAUCUUAUUUUCUUUGGACUUACUUUGAGGAUUUUUACUAAAAGAAAUUUGGAAAAGCCAGUUUGCUUUGAAGUAAACAUAGAAACUCAAUGUGCAAAAAAACCCCACUGAAGUCCUUUGGUAUUGUGUAAAUUGCAAACAAUGAUAAGGCAAAAAAUUACAGACUCUCAAAUUUUUUCAGUCAACACAAUGUGCAUUUUUUCCAUCAAAAACCAUGUUCCCCUGCUGUCUUCCUGCAGUGAAGAAGCUGUAUCACUAGCCUUUCCUGACCUCUCCAUAAAAACUGCUUGAUUAAUGGAAAGGGAAGAUGAGGCAAAAGUCUUCCCUACAGAUAACAGUCGUCUUCUGACAGUGACAGCAUCCCUUCUUUUCUUUAGGCACAGAGACCUUUUACACUUUGGGGGAAAAGGAAAUAGAUUCAUUUCAAAGAACUGCAUUUAGGCUCAUUUAGAGUUUAACAGCCAGUGCUGUAUUAAUGGCUGUCAUUUUCUUCCUGUGCUCAUACCUGCUGACACGGGCUUACAGCAUUCUCACGUUCAUCAAAGUUGUUCAUCUAUACCAGCCUGCUCCAAAAUACACCCCAGAGUCUAGAGUGAAACUAAGCGAUUCUUUAACUGCUGCUUGUCCCCGUGCAGUCAGGGAUCUGUCAUAAAUGCAGUCUUACAAAUCUGAAAUUUAAAAAGUUAUGUAGUAAAGGACACUUUUGCUAGAAACAGGCUUGCUUCCAGCUGAGAACAGGCUCAUGGGAGCUUGAAGAAUUCUGUGCAUGUCAGAAGGUUCUAUCAUUUCUUAAUUAUGUGAGGUCCAAACUUAGCUGCUACACUGAUGAGUACAGUUUUCCUAAAUUACCAGCACUAUCCCCUGCUUAGCCAUGUCUUACCAGCAAGUAACUUCUUAAGCAUUUUAAAAUGAGAGGCCUAGAAAAUUGUGAGAGUGUUGACAGAAAUAAUGAGAAUGAACAGUCAGGAGAGCAGAGUAUCCUGGAUUAACAUUCAAGACAGCAACUGCAAAUUUGAAAAAGGUAGCAAAGAUAUUUCUAGAUUUCUUGCUCAGUCUGAAGUACCAAGAGUACUGAAAGAUAGAAGCUUGUGCUGAGUAAAUGUAUGACAGAGUCUCAAGCCUGUGAACGAAGAAAAUAUUCAUCACACCUCUGAAAUCUUGUUUGAUAGUUUUGAAUUGUUUUUUCAACUCUGCCCAAAGUAUUUUUUAAGCAGACUUAUUUUCCUUUUCAAGUGAAGAUCACGGCAAAGAAUGAAUGAAGAGAAAUGUAGUUUGUGUGAAAGACAGAUAGAAAAGAUUUCCAGUGAGGAAUGUCAGAGGAAAAUGCAGAAAAUAACACUCUUCUUCACUGCAAAUGAUUCAAUGUAAAGCAUUUGAAACUCUCCAGCUGCACACUGCAGGAGGAUGGAAGAGUCCUUGGAGAAAGUAUUACUACUUAUCCUCUUCUGUAGAGAACUGCUUUUGAUUUGAGGGAUUUCUUUGGAUACAUCGAGACUGAAGGCACUCCCCAGCACGGGAGGGAGGCAUCACUCAGCAAGCAGGGCUGUUUUGGGGAUGCCAAACCCAGCUCCAGGAACCACACACGUCAUGAGGCUCCUGGCAGUGAGCAAGAAAUGAGACAAACGGUGCAAACCUUCAGUAUACUCACUGCCCAACUGAUAGCACAGAGGCCCUUUGGAGUUUCCACAGCGGGAUGUUUCACUGCUGAGGUAAGGUAAUACACAGAAAUCCUACAGCCAAAAAAGGUCAGCUAAGCAAACUUUUUUUUUUUGGACAACAAGAGAAAGAAGGAAGCAAUCUGCGUGAAAAACAAAGCUUUCCAAAGCUGAAUUUCACAAAAAUUCUUCUAAAAUCUUGCACUCAGACAAAAGAAAAAAAGACCCUAAACAAACACCUUUACACAAAACACACCAGGAGAGAACGUUCCUGCUAAGUUACAAGACAGCCAGUAACAUUUAACUGGAUUUGCUGAGAGAAGAGGAAGAAUGUAGGGCUGGGUUAUACCCACCCUCAUUCACAAUAAACUGAUCUCAACCACUAAUUAAAAUGAGAAGCUUUUGUGGCAUUUAGGGCACAAUCAGCUGCCUCAAAACUACACACUGUUCCUCACAUAUUGAGGAAUAUUUUUGGUGCUUGACAAGACGUUUUUUUCAGGAAAGACUUUAAUCUAAAUACUAGGUGUUUGGGUGUUUUUGUUGUUGUUGUUUUAUUAUUUUUUUUUUUUAGUAUUUAUACUCAAAGUGACACCUGACCUUCCAAAGUAAACUUAACUGCAGGUUUUCUGCUAUUUUUCCCCCUUCCUACCAAACACUUCACAAGAGAAAUUUCUUUGUGCACUCAAAAAAUAUAACAAUCAGUAAUAACAAUGUUCUUAGCAUCAGUUGAUUUGGACUAAUUUUGGGAAAAAAAAGAAAAAACCUCUUUGUUUUGCCUCAUGGAUUGUUCAGGAACUGCACUCCACGGUUCUUUCUGCUGGCUGCUGCAGAAAUCACACAAAUUGAAUUGAACCUGCCCUUUGUUUACUUGCGUGGCAGGAUUCCCUGCAUCUCUGCUGUAUUUCACACAGUAGGAAGUCAGCGUGGACUUUCCAAGGUCAAUCUUGCUGCUGAAGACCAAUGAGUCUCCUGCUGGGUAGAUGUCACAAGUUGAGUUUGUAGCAAUGCAAACUUGUCAACUGCUGAGGAGGCUCCGGCAGUUUAAAGGCGUUUGGCCGGUGAAGACCCUCACUGCCUCAAAUUCAUUUACUUCUCUGCAGGAGGUAACGAGGGAAAAAAGCAUGAGACAGAUGCAAGUGAAAGAAUCUGUGAAAUUGUCAGUUCUCUUAUCAAAAAGGCAACAGGAGCGUAAAGUGUCCCCUGGAAGUAAAUAUCGGUGGGCUUAACCUGCAGUCUUGGAUCUCAGCUCAACAAACUACUAGGGAAAUUAGGAUCUGACCUGAACUAAUCUCCUAAGCAGAUGAAAAAGCUGUAUGAGGCACCUGGGGCUUGUGUUUCCACUCUGUAGUGUCUGUUGCUGGUGAAUUCAAUAGUAGGAGAAAAACAAUUAAAGUUUAUUAGACCUGAGUUUCAAAAUAGAUGAAAAAAUAACUUCAGCACUGAUACAUUGAGAAAAGAGUUUGGGAAUAAGGGUCCAUGGAAACAGUCCCCUGGGAAGGGCUGUCACUGGGUGAUGUGCAUGAACAUGGGGCACAGUGUAAGCAGCUUGAAAGUGGUAGAGCCGCGUAAGAAUGUCACUGUGCUGGAAUCAAGAAGCCCUAGUUUGUGACUUUUUGGUGGCAAUUACUUUCACUCAAUCAGUCUCUUAAUUAAUGCAGUUAUUCUGGUCAUGGGACAAAUUUAGAUGUCUCUCUAUUGACCUCCACUGCACAGCAGAGAAAUGGAAAGGUGAUCAGCCAUGCUCAUUAUUGAAUUUAUAUAUAUCAAAAGAGCUUUAUGAAGGUGAUCAGUAUUUUACAGAUGUGCAAACUGAUGUAGGACUUAAUAAGGAGCUUAUCCAAGUUUUCCAGUGGAGCAGCAUCAAAGUCAAGGCUGGAAUUGAGGUCCCUGUGUUCUGAUGCAGCUUUAUAAGAACAACUCUGUUCUAUAAAAAACGAGAGAGCACAAGCACAACAGGUUCUUCCCAGAUCACAUUCUGCUGUAGGAUGCCAGAAAGUCCCCUGGGUUCUGUUUUAAGGCUAUCACAGUAUGUUUCAAUUCAGCAUGGUAAUAACAAGUGGAUUUUUUCCUGUUAUUGUUAUUUUUUGCUUCACUGCACUUACAUUUUCUGCAUGUGUCCAUUUUAGGUUGUUUUAGCAAAAUAUUUUAUCAUGUAUUUAAUUUUAAGCAUAUGCUCUGAAUGCCCAGGAACCUCAAAAGCAUUUAAACUGCAUGUUCAAAGUUAAGCAGAUACUUAACUGAACAGCGACAGACAACAUGUGCACUAAAUAUUCAGUAAGUGUGUGACUGUUUUGCAGAGUAAGAUGUACAUAAAUGAGAACAAAUCUUUACAUUUUAGUUCAGUAAGUAUGCUUCCAGUGACUGCAGAGGGUUAUACCAGGAGCUGGCUUUAAUCUUAAGUGUUUCUUAGACAUGUGCAGUCUCAGGCACGAAGCAGGAGGUUCACCCCCUCACUGCCUGGAUAUGGAUCAUCUGCACUGGUUCAUGCAACUCUGCAUCAGCCCUGGCUCUCUGGGGCUCGAGAUUUGACAUGUGGUCCACUGAGUAUGGCACAUGUGAUCCUGAAGUGGGGAAGGUCAUGAUGUUGCCCUGACCACUAAUGCCACGGGGACACAUCAUAAUCUUUUAAACCUCUUAAACUUUUAAAGAAAGCUAGGUAAACUCUAGGUUUACUACUCUCAUGUGACAUUAGUGUAGAAGAAUUCACAUUUUUGGAAAGACACUGGAUGUAUAUUUAGCUACCAAAGCUGCCUCUGUGGGAAAGGGAAGAGCUGAGCAACCCCAACCGGGCAUUGCAUCCCAAAUUCCAAAUGGAGAAGGGACUAAUUGCCUCCAGUUAUUAUGGUUUUGGCUCAGGAUUGUGUGGCCACCUGAAGCCUAGACGGGUGAAUUUUGCUCUCCAGGUAAACACAGGCUCUGGAGAACCCUUUUUCUAAAGGUCUCAUUUGAGGCUAUAGUCAAUAACUGGGUGAAAUAUGUGUCUACUUAAUGACGGUGAAAAUUGAAGGUGUCCAGUAAAGCAGUUGUAAUUGUGUUUAAUGCUGAGACAAUGAACCUAGUUAAGAUUCAAUUUGGUCUUCCCCUUUGUUCCCCACUUCCAGUAAUAAAUGGUUAAUUACCAGUUUCAAAGGCUCAGUGUAAUUUGUCAGCUUGCAGAAAUCACAGUGAUCACCAUACUGUCAGGAAGAAGUGUGACCCCUUUAUUUUUCCAGAUGAAAAUAUUUAUUCUUUUACAGAAAAUGCUAAGCAAUCUCCUGGCUUGAACUAUCAAGCCAUAGCCUUUCCCCUCAUGUUUGGCAGGAGUGGGAACUGACAGGAUGUGCCCAUCUGCUGAGUGCCAUGAACACAGGCCUCCCACAUUGCAGCCACAACCUCUGUGUUGAUGUCUGUGUGACCUCUUCUACUCUGCCACCACAAGGUACCUGGCAGGGCAAAGGCCAGCACUGACUUGUCCC